rnacentral:lncRNA from 1 species
CCCAGAUACUGUGUCAGUACUCCCACAGCCAUCCUUCUUUGCUCGUGUGCAUAUAAGUAGAAUGGACGUGUAUGAUCAGGUAGACCUAAUGCGGGGGUGCUCAUCAAUGCCUUCUUAACAUCCUCAAAUGCCUUCUGCUGUUCGAUGGUCCACAGGAAGGAAUCAUGUUCCGUGCCUUUAAUAGCGGCAUAGAGGGGUUUCGCCAGUAUCGCAUAACUGGGAAUCCAU